UACAGAGGUCUCGAGCGUUAGGCGGAAUCACUGGGCUUAAAGCGUGUGUAGGCGGAUCGUUAAGUGCCUUGUGAAAUCCCACGGCUUAACCGUGGAACUGCUUGGCAUACUGGCGAUCUUGAGCAACCUAGGGGCGAGCGGAACAAAUGGUGGAGCGGUGAAAUGCGUAGAUAUCAUUUGGAACGCCAAUGGUGAAAACAGCUCGCUGGGGGUUUGCUGACGCUGAGACACGAAAAGCCAGGGGAGCAAAGCGGGAUUAAGAA
rnacentral:rRNA from 1 species